rnacentral:rRNA from 1 species
UACGUAGGGUGCAAGCGUUGUCCGGAAUUAUUGGGCGUAAAGAGCUCGUAGGCGGUUUGUCGCGUCGGCUGUGAAAACCUGAGGCUCAACCUCGGGCCUGCAGUCGAUACGGGCAAACUAGAGUUCGGUAGGGGAGACUGGAAUUCCUGGUGUAGCGGUGGAAUGCGCAGAUAUCAGGAGGAACACCGGUGGCGAAGGCGGGUCUCUGGGCCGAAACUGACGCUGAGGAGCGAAAGCGUGGGGAGCGAACCGG